GUGAACAGAGCUCACACAGCGCCUAACGUGUGACAGCAUUCAUAAAUGUAAGCCAAAUGGAAUGACAAGCCCUAUUUAUCUCAGCAAAUUCUAACAGCAUGGGAGAAGUUCGUAACAAAAGAAUCCCUGCCUACCCAGAAAAGGCAGGUGGUCUGCUCCAAUUUUCAUUAGAACACAUGCUGAAGUGCCAUUAACUAGAAACCUUAGAUGAGGAAGACUGAAAUUAUCCACAGUACUGAGGUACAGGGUUAACAUAAAAAAGGACAUUCACAAUAAAAACCUCAGGAAUGUUAACUGCUAAUAG
rnacentral:lncRNA from 1 species